rnacentral:rRNA from 1 species
ACCGGCGAUGUCCGAAUGGGGAAACCCAGUGUGAUUCGUCACACUAUCAUUAACUGAAUCCAUAGGUUAAUGAGGCGAACCGGGGGAACUGAAACAUCUAAGUACCCCGAGGAAAAGAAAUCAACCGAGAUUCCCCCAGUAGCGGCGAGCGAACGGGGAGGAGCCCAGAGCCUGAAUCAGCAUAUGUGUUAGUGGAAGCGUCUGGAAAGGCGCGCGAUACAGGGUGACAGCCCCGUACACAAAAGCGCAUGUGCUGUGAGCUCGAUGAGUAGGGCGGGACACGUGGUAUCCUGUCUGAAUAUGGGGGGACCAUCCUCCAAGGCUAAAUACUCCUGACUGACCGAUAGUGAACCAGUACCGUGAGGGAAAGGCGAAAAGAACCCCGGCGAGGGGAGUGAAACAGAACCUGAAACCGUGUACGUACAAGCAGUGGGAGCACAGGUUUACCUGUGUGACUGCGUACCUUUUGUAUAAUGGGUCAGCGACUUAUAUUCUGUAGCAAGGUUAACCGAAUAGGGGAGCCGGAGGGAAACCGAGUCUUAAU